UACGGGGGGUGCGAGCGUUGUCCGGAUUCACUGGGCGUAAAGGGCGCGUAGGCGGCCCGGCAAGUCAACGGUGAAAGCUUGGGGCUCAACCCCGAGUCGGCCGUCGAUACUUCCGGGCUGGAGCACUGUAGAGGCAGGUGGAAUUCCGGGUGUAGCGGUGGAAUGCGUAGAGAUCCGGAAGACCACCGGUGGCGAAGCCGGCCUGCUGGGCAGUAGCUGACGCUGAGGCGCGACAGCGUGGGAGCAAACAGG
rnacentral:rRNA from 1 species